CCUACGGGUGGCUGCAGUGGGGAAUAUUGCGCAAUGGGCGAAAGCCUGACGCAGCGACGCCGCGUGGGUGAUGAAGGCCUUCGGGUUGUAAAGCCCUGUCGGGUGGGACGAACGAUCUGGCGGCGAAUAACCGCCGGGUGUGACGGUACCACCGAAGGAAGCCCCGGCUAACUACGUGCCAGCAGCCGCGGUAAGACGUAGGGGGCGAGCGUUGUUCGGAUUUACUGGGCGUAAAGCGCGCGUAGGCGGCGAACUCCCGCGGAUUAACCGAGGUCCUGCAUCCGAUACUGUCUGGAUCGAGUCUAGGAGAGGAAAGCGGAAUUCCCAGUGUAGCGGGGAAAUGCGUAGAGAUUGGGAGGAACACCGGUGGCGAAGGCGGCGUUCCGGACUAGUACUGACGCUGAGGCGCGAAAGCUAGGGGAGCGAACGGGAUUAGAUACCCGUGUAGUC
rnacentral:rRNA from 1 species